AUUGAACGCUGGCGGCAGGCUUAACACAUGCAAGUCGAGCGAGCGGCGGACGGGUGAGUAAUGUCUGGGAAACUGCCUGUUGGUGGGGGAUAACUACUGGAAACGGUAGCUAAUACCGCAUAACAUCCGAUGUGCCCAGAUGGGAUUAGCUAGUAGGUGGGGUAAUGGCGCACCUAGGCGACGAGCCCUAGCUGGUCUGAGAGGAUGACCAGCCACACUGGAACUGCUACACGGUCCAGACUCCGACGGGAGGCAGCAGUGGGGAAUAUUGCCCAAUGGGCGCAAGCCUGAUGCAGCCAUGCCGCGUGUGUGAAGAAGUCCUUCGGGUUGUAAAGCACGUUCAGCGAGGAGGCGUUACUCGCAGAAGAAGCACCGGCUAACUCCGUGCCAGCAGCGGCGGUAAUAC
rnacentral:rRNA from 1 species